AAAGGCUGCAAUAUAAGACUCAAC
rnacentral:siRNA from 1 species